rnacentral:rRNA from 1 species
ACGAACGCUGGCGGCGUGCUUAACACAUGCAAGUCGAACGGAAAGGCCCUGCUUUUGUGGGGUGCUCGAGUGGCGAACGGGUGAGUAACACGUGAGUAACCUGCCCUUGACUUUGGGAUAACUUCAGGAAACUGGGGCUAAUACCGGAUAGGAGCUCCUGCUGCACGGUGGGGGUUGGAAAGUUUCGGCGGUUGGGGAUGGACUCGCGGCUUGUCAGCUUGUUGGUGGGGUAGUGGCUUACCAAGGCUUUGACGGGUAGCCGGCCUGAGAGGGUGACCGGCCACAUUGGGACUGAGAUACGGCCCAGACUCCUACGGGAGGCAGCAGUGGGGAAUAUUGCACAAUGGGCGGAAGCCUGAUGCAGCAACGCCGCGUGCGGGAUGACGGCCUUCGGGUUGUAAACCGCUUUCGCCUGUGACGAAGCGUGAGUGACGGUAAUGGGUAAAGAAGCACCGGCUAACUACGU